AGGGUGACAGGGACACAACAUGGCGGCGGGAUCCCUAACGCUCUCCUUCGAGGGACCACCACGGAGAUCUUAGUGCGGGACCCCGCCUCAGGGAAGUGGAAAGAAGGGGGACAACCUUCCUGCUUCUUUCUUUUCCGUCCAGUGUCGGCAAGGGGUUGUCACCGGCUUCCGCAUCCAAGAUGAAGAACUAUAAAGCAAUUGGCAAAAUAGGAGAGGGAACGUUUUCUGAAGUUAUGAAGAUGCAAAGCCUGAGAGAUGGAAACUACUAUGCAUGUAAACAAAUGAAGCAGCGCUUUGAAAGUAUUGAGCAAGUCAACAACCUACGAGAGAUCCAAGCACUGAGGCGCCUGAAUCCGCACCCAAACAUUCUUAUGUUGCAUGAAGUGGUUUUUGACAGAAAAUCUGGUUCUCUUGCACUGAUAUGUGAACUUAUGGACAUGAAUAUUUAUGAGCUAAUACGAGGCCAGGCAGUGUGUUCAGUGCACCAACUCUGAGAUGCUGUGAGCAACACGGAGCAUCCUAGGUUCAGAGAUGUUAAAAUGUA
rnacentral:sRNA from 1 species